rnacentral:rRNA from 1 species
UACGGAGGGUGCAAGCGUUAUCCGGAAUCAUUGGGUUUAAAGGGUCCGCAGGCGGGAAGGUAAGUCAGUGGUGAAAUCUCACAGCUCAACUGUGAAACUGCCAUUGAUACUGUCUUUCUUGAAUUCGAUCGAAGUGGGCGGAAUGUGACAUGUAGCGGUGAAAUGCUUAGAUAUGUCACAGAACACCGAUAGCGAAGGCAGCUCACUAGGUCUGGAUUGACGCUCAGGGACGAAAGCGUGGGGAGCAAACAGG